GCAGGCACAGCUGUGUGACCCCUUAUGGCUCCCCGCUGCGCUGCUCUCCAACUCUGUCUCCUGACCCCACACUCCUCCUGGUCUGGCUGCACUCUUUAGAGCACGGAUUGAUGUGAACUUUUGCCUCCAGCUCACACACUGAAUGCGCAAACCAGACCCCGACCCAUAGUGAUUAACGCUUGCAAGGCCCGAGGGGUAUCUAAAGAGCAAAGAGCAUCCAGAAGUACUGAGAGGGCUGCACACUGGAUUCUGUUAUCUUGAAAGAGAUGGAUUUCUAGAGAGCAACUGAAGGCUGGAAAGUUCUUGGGGGCGACAAACGACAAGCAAGUCUGCAAAUGAAGACAUAAAUUAACUUGAGCUUUUGAUGAGGAUUUUAGAAACACCAAAUCGCAUGAGAGACAGCAGGGUGACGUCCGGAGUCUGCUUCUUGAAAGAAUGAUAUUUACUUGGAAGCCCGCAGACCAAGGAGUGAGGAGGGGCUCUCCAGGGAAAGACAACAGGGCAAAGGUCCCAGAGUAACCAGUCAAAGACUGUUGAGAAUCUCUCUAUGAACCAACUGACAAAUAAGAACCUGUGCAGCCCAUGGCGGUACCUGCCUGUGAUCCCAGCACUAGCAAAGCCCAGGAAAGACACCGUGAACUUGAACCCAGCCUGGGCUACAGAAUAAGACCCUGUCUCAGAACAAGACAUAAAGGGAUGGUCUGCUAUGCGAAAUAAAGAAUUACAAGACACAGUGUCUAGAUUUAAAACACAAGCUUUGCAUGUAGAGUAAGAAACACAGGCGAUCUUGAAAAGGCAAAUACACUAGUGCUCCGCCAGGUCCAACAUUGUCUAGUACGGUCAAAAGGCUUGGGAGAGACAGGCUAUUGGGAGCCAUCUGAGAGAAGGGAAAGCAACAUUUGUUGAACUUUAAGAAAGUAACAAACUGAGUAUGGCGGCACAUGCAUUUAAUUCAGCACUCAGGAGGAAGAGGCGGGUAGAUCUCUGAGUUCA